UAGCUUGGUUGGUAGAGCGUCUGCCUUGUAAGCGCUAGGCCGCGGGUUCGAUUCCCGC
rnacentral:tRNA from 1 species